UUUGUAAAAUUUUUGAUACUUUUGGCUAUUUUCGCUUACUGUAGUUGCGCCAGUAUCGAUUUCAAAGAUGGCCGAAGGACCCUGGUUGAUCGAAUUUUGAAGCCGGAAUAUGAUGCACGACGAAGGCUGCCUCCUCCCACUACCACUACAGUAGACCCGUAUCCAGCAGUGAAAAUACGACCCUGUGACGAGAACGUCAACUACUGCAGACAAUGGUAAUUCCCGCCACUGAUUGCUAUACUUACAAGAGUCAAGUGUUCACGAAACUAUGAUCUAGUAUCUCCUAAUUAAUAAAAGUUUAAAAUGG